CCUGUUGAAUGUUUGCAACGUUCAAAUGUCAAUAUACUUCAUUCUCCUGUGGUUUCACAUAGUCUGAAUCCAGUAACCUUCUGGCCAUAUUGAAGACGACCUGUUUGGCAGGAUUUUUAAAGAGAGAUUUUCUCUUUGAUUUGCCCACAUCCUCCUGAUGCUGAAGUAUCCAAAAGAGAGGAGAGGAAAGUGAUUGCGGAAGCAAGAUAAACUUGGAACGUAGGAAGCUGCGGUUGAAUUAUUUUAUGGAGGGCUGCUGAAAGAGAGGGUGUAUGGAAGAAAGGAGAGACUGCAGCAGAAAGUGCUUGCAGUUUUCCUUGUGCCUUUGCUGGGAUGCAGGGGACAGCUGACAAAGCAGCAGCAGCAGCAGGAAGAGCAAACAAGGAGCAAUCUCAUCCGGUGCUCUGCUCUGCUGCUGCUGUCAGUUUUCGUGCUGACUUAACCUAGCAGGAAAUCCAAGAAAAAUAAGAAUGGAAAAUGGAGAGAAAGCUUCAUCAAGGUGUGCAGAAGGUGCAUGCAUGUAGACCUAGCUGAGGGCGUGUCAGGAUCUAGGAAGAACAAAAAACAUGGCAAGAGCUGGACGUUGUGAGUACACUGCAAGGUCCUUCAGCUCAGGAGUCUGGACUCAAAACACUCCCACAGCCAUGGCUGAGCUCUUGGCUGGGGCUCCUGCUGUCUGAAGAACCCAAGCAGGGAGGUGUGAACACAGGCUCAGAGAAGCCCUGCUGUCACUGCAGCACGCUUAUUUUGAAGAUAAGUGUGAAUCAGCAUGCUGUUCUUAUAGGCAAAGAAGUAGCAGCAAGAAAUCUCAGACUAUGCAAGAGGAUCAUGACCUGGCAAUCAGAGGAUUUCUGCACUGAUCCAAGCCAGAAAAAAUGCUACUUUGCUUGGUGGACACUUCCCAUGGAUUUCUUACACAUCCACAUCCAAGGAGUGGAUGUAUCUGUCACGCACACCAAGCUGCUAACACCCGUGUGGUCUUGGUAGGAAAAUGCAAAGGAAAUCCAAAAGUGCUGGCCUUGACUCCCUUCCUCACUGUCCUUCCAUACCUGCUCUGCCUUGGCUUUGUGCCCUGCUCCCUCCCUAGCGCUCUUAUCUCCCACUGAACCUGAGAAACAAAUGCUUGUGGAAGCUAAGUCGUCCCCAGCUGUUCGCUCUGUUCCUGAGCUCCCUUCCUCCCUCUCAUUCCUUUUGGAUCUGUUUCUAAACUUUUUGGGGCAGCAACUACUUUUCUGCAUGCAACAUCAAUGGACACUGUUCUUGGCUGGCCUCAAGGCACAACUGGAAUAAAUGUGAAUAACAACAACAGUGACAAAAAG
ensembl:lncRNA